rfam:Halanaerobium kushneri strain ATCC 700103 genome assembly, contig: Ga0104713_105
UUAAUAAUAUACCUUCGAGUCUUUUUGCCUAAGGAAUUUUCUAUGGGAAUUAGACCGCUGGGUUGAGGAAUAAAUGACUCAGCCUCCCGUGCUUGGAAAGAAGAGUAAAUUUAAAGGAG